UGAGGAAUAUUGGUCAAUGGACGAGAGUCUGAACCAGCCAAGUAGCGUGAAGGAUGACUGCCCUAUGGGUUGUAAACUUCUUUUAUAUGGGAAUAAAGUGGUCCACGUGUGGAUUUUUGUAUGUACCAUAUGAAUAAGGAUCGGCUAACUCCGUGCCAGCAGCCGCGGUAAUACGGAGGAUCCGAGCGUUAUCCGGAUUUAUUGGGUUUAAAGGGUGCGUAGGUGGUGAUUUAAGUCAGCGGUGAAAGUUUGUGGCUCAACCAUAAAAUUGCCGUUGAAACUGGGUUACUUGAGUGUGUUUGAGGUAGGCGGAAUGCGUGGUGUAGCGGUGAAAUGCAUAGAUAUCACGCAGAACUCCGAUUGCGAAGGCAGCUUACUAAACCAUAACUGACACUGAAGCACGAAAGCGUGGGGAUCAAACAGGAUUAGAUACCCUGGUAGUCCACGCAGUAAACGAUGAUUACUAGGAGUUUGCGAUACAAUGUAAGCUCUACAGCGAAAGCGUUAAGUAAUCCACCUGGGGAGUACGCCGGCAACGGUGAAACUCAAAGGAAUUGACGGGGGCCCGCACAAGCGGAGGAACAUGUGGUUUAAUUCGAUGAUACGCGAGGAACCUUACCCGGGUUUGAACGUAGUCUGACCGGAGUGGAAACACUCUUUCUAGCAAUAGCAGAUUACGAGGUGCUGCAUGGUUGUCGUCAGCUCGUGCCGUGAGGUGUCGGCUUAAGUGCCAUAACGAGCGCAACCCUUAUCACUAGUUACUAACAGGUGAAGCUGAGGACUCUGGUGAGACUGCCAGCGUAAGCUGUGAGGAAGGUGGGGAUGACGUCAAAUCAGCACGGCCCUUACAUCCGGGGCGACACACGUGUUACAAUGGCAUGGACAAAGGGCAGCUACCUGGUGACAGGAUGCUAAUCUCCAAACCAUGUCUCAGUUCGGAUCGGAGUCUGCAACUCGACUCCGUGAAGCUGGAUUCGCUAGUAAUCGCGCAUCAGCCAUGGCGCGGUGAAUACGUUCCC
rnacentral:rRNA from 1 species